AUGGAAGAGCAAGAAACUGAGACGUACCCAUAUGCUGCCAUCACUACUUACCUACAAUCAGGCAUGUAUCCACCAGACGCUGACAAAAAGGAGAAGCGUGGCCUCCGCAAAAGAGCAAAGUAUUUCGUGCUGUUUGGGGGCAAGCUGCAGUAUGUAGGAGGAAAUAAGAAGAACACUCCUAGGUUGGUAGUGGAAGGUGAAGAAGACAGAAGAAAGAUCAUUGAGAGCAUCCAUGGGCAAGCUCAUCUAGGAAGAGACAAAACACUUUCUCAGCUAACUCAACGAUACUACUGGCCAAACAUGUACAAGACAGCAUGUGCCUACAUUGCUUCAUGUGACCACUGCCAGCGCCAAAACCAUAAGUUGCAUAAAACUAAUGCAACACUUUCUCCCAUUCCUGUUAAAGAAAAAGCCUGGUAUCAGGUUGGAAUGGAUUUAGUGGGUCCUCUGCCUGUAACUCCAGCAGGAAACAAGUUCUUGAUGACAAUUACAGAUUACUACACAAAGUGGGCUGUAGCUGCUGCUCUAAAAGACAAAACUGCAUUGUAUUUUGCACAUACGGCUGCCCUACUGUUAUCCUCAGUGACCAAGGAAGAGAAUUUGUCAAUAAAGUUACUGAGGCACUCUUUAAAAGAACAAACACACAGCGCUAGAAUCACUUCCGCCUAUCAUCCUCAAGAACUGCAACCUGGAAUCAAGGUUUUGGUUGAGAACACCCAACAAAAGGAGAGGAAAGGUGGAAAGCUCGAAAACAAGUAUAGUGGACCAUACAUUAUUAAGACCUCAGAUGGAAAGGGUGUCUAUACCCUUAAGGACUUGGAUGGGAAGGUGUUAAAAAAGAAAUGUAAUAUCAAACGUCUCAAGGUUUAUAUGGAUCCUUCUUCAUUGGUUGAACAAAAAGCUCUCAGUGGCCAAACUUCACCGGAUAAAUCCAAUGGCUCUACCCCACCAGAGAAAUCCAAUGGCCCCACCCCACCAGAGAAAUCCAAUGGCUCUACCCCACCAGAGAAAUCCAAUGGCCCCACCCCACCAGAGAAAUCCAAUGGCCCCACCUCACCAGAAGAUCCAAAUGGCCCCACCCCACCGGAGAAACCCAAUGGUGGCUCUACCCAACCAAAGAAAUCCAAUGGCCCCACCCCACCAGAAGAUCCAAAUGGCCCCACCCCACCGGAGAAAUCCAAUGGCCCCACCCCACCAGAAGAUCCAAAUGGCCCCACCCCACCGGAGAAAUCCAAUGGUCCCAUCCCACCAGAAUAUCAAAAUGGCCCCGCCACAUUGGAUGAUCCCAAUGUCCCUACUUCACCGGACGGGCCCAAUGACCAAUUGGAGGAUCCCAAUGGACCCACACUCCCGGAUAAUAUGCCUGGCCUCUCUUCAAAAUACGUUUCCAGUGGGUUUGAUGAUCCUAUUCUGAUGGAAUGUCUGUUUGAUCCAAGCCUUUUGAGACUGUACAGAACAGGAGCUUCUACACAUCUGUACAGAAGUGAGGAGGAUGAUGAUUUUGAUUUAUCGUACCUCUUUCAAAACAAGCACGAGUAUGGCUUGAGCAAAGAUACUGAUGUGGCACUGUGGCUAGCUUACAGAGCAUACACCCAUCAACCAGACUUAGUUGAAGCGUUUGAUUUCGUGGUCGUCAAUUCACUCCUUCACAAUCAGUUUGACGACUUCAAAAAAGCAGAAAACACUGACAUCAGCUACUUAGAAAUGAACAGCCUGUUACAUUUCUACAUCCGUCAACACCCCCAGUCUGGUACUUUCCUGACAAAAAAGUAUGGUAAAACAUACCUAACCUGCACUUGUGGUCAAGUCAAUGAACUAUGUCAAUGGAUCUACGAUAUGAGAAAACAACACCCUCAAGACUUGCCACAAAGUUCUGUGAUGGGCAAAGAGCAGCAAAAGAUGCCACUUUGCUCAACACCAGACGUGAGCCUUACACAUGGACCUGUGGUGACUCAUUUGCAACCAAUUGAUGUCCCCUUAGACCGUCCACCACCACCUAAGAGACGAAAGUCUAAUCAGUCUGUACCUAAGAGUCAAAAGACCAGGUAUGCUGGGAGUCUCUGGAUAUACCUGACUUAGAUCUACGUUACAGGGAUAGGGCAGUUGUAAAGAGAGGAAAACUAUGUGACAAGCAUAUGUAUGCUGCCCAUGAAGUGCUGAGGUAUCAGUUCCCUCAUCUGCAUGGUCUUCAAUCGACAUUACUUACCCAAAAAGAGUUUAAAGCAAUGCAAUGUCAUGACUCUGUUGUAAGAGCCGUUCAGAUACUAUUUGUUGAGGAAAGAGAGCACUGGGUUGUUUCCAGCCUCACCAAUGGAAAACUGAGACUAUACGACAGCUGUUCAACUGGAGAAUUAACCUCAAGUCUUCAAGUACAGCUAGCUCAAAUAUACGGCAAUCAAUUUGCGGUUAACAACAAACUCAAAGUUUACAUUGAGCCUGUACAGCAGCAAGAAGGAGAAAUGGACUGUGGUGUUUUCAGCAUUGCAAAUGCAUACAAUGCUGCACAGGCGAAGAGUACGAAAGAUGUAACGUAUGACUCACAACAAAUGCGUUCACACAUUCAGCACUGUUUUGAAGCUAAAACGUUCAGCACUUUUCCUCAAUCUAAAAAUUCGGCAGCAAUCAACAGAUGUGAUCCCAAACAGAUAAUCAUCGAGCUGUACUGCACUUGUGGUCUUCCAGAGACAUAUGAUAGCCGAAUGACCGAGUGUACAGAAUGCCAAAAGUGGUCACUUUAAAUGCAUGAACAUCAAGGUCAGGCCAAGAGGAUGGCUGUGUAUAACAUGUAGAUCUAAUUCAUGUUAACUGUAUCACCAAACUGUUAAAUUGUUAUUAAAU